rnacentral:rRNA from 1 species
AGAGUUUGAUCAUGGCUCAGGAUGAACGCUAGCGGCAGGCUUAAUACAUGCAAGUCGUGGGGCAGCAUGGUGUAGCAAUACACUGAUGGCGACCGGCAAACGGGUGCGGAACACGUACGCAACCUUCCUUUAACUGGAGAAUAGCCCGGGGAAACCCGGAUUAAUACUCCGUAACAUUAUGAAGUGGCAUCACUUUAUAAUUAUAGCUCCGGCGGUUGAAGAUGGGCGUGCGUCUGAUUAGGUAGUUGGCGGGGUAACGGCCCACCAAGCCUACGAUCAGUAACUGGUGUGAGAGCACGACCAGUCACACGGGCACUGGGACACGGGCCCGACUCCUACGGGAGGCAGCAGUAAGGAAUAUUGGUCAAUGGACGCAAGUCUGAACCAGCCAUGCCGCGUGAAGGAUGAAGGUCCUCUGGAUUGUAAACUUCUUUUAUUUGGGAAGAAACCCAUGAUUUCUAUCGUGGUUGACGGUACCAGAUGAAUAAGCACCGGCUAACUCCGUGCCAGCAGCCGCGGUAAUACGGAGGGUGCAAGCGUUAUCCGGAUUCACUGGGUUUAAAGGGUGCGUAGGCGGGUUGGUAAGUCCGUGGUGAAAUCUCCAAGCUUAACUUGGAAACUGCCGUGGAUACUAUCAAUCUUGAAUAUAGUGGAGGUGAGCGGAAUAUGUCAUGUAGCGGUGAAAUGCUUAGAUAUGACAUAGAACACCCAUUGCGAAGGCAGCUCGCUACACUAUUAUUGACGCUGAGGCACGAAAGCGUGGGGAUCAAACAGGAUUAGAUACCCCCGUAGUCC